rnacentral:lncRNA from 1 species
GUGCCAUCGUCGGGUUCUGAGGGAAAGCGUUUAUCAUACAAAAUUUCAAACUAUCCAUAUUUUGUAUGAUAAAUGUUUUCCUUCAGAACCUGAUGAUGGCGUUCUGGCCGAGAGCGCUCGUUCGUUUGUGUUCAAGGUUUUGAAGUUGUAAUUGGGGUUUCCCAACUGCAUUUGUGCUGAACUGUUUUGUAUUUUAUAAAUCAGCCAUAAUAAUAUAAUAAUAACAUUAGACAUAGUAGUUAAAUUAGAUGGCUUUUAAAUAUUAUUAUGCAAUAACUGUAAACAAGAUUGAGGCAUGGUAUUAGGAAGGAUAUCAUUGAUGAUAUGGGUCUUUAGAUCUUUUAUCUAUCUGAAGUGUUUCUGCAAAUUUUAAUUCCUCAUGGUAAUGUACUUUAUUUGAAAUCCUUACUUGAGUCCAUUCGAAAUUCUGGGUAGUUUCAAAAAACAUAUCAACAAGACAAUGGAAGGGCUAUGCAUUUUCAAAUCUCUUUUAAGCUCUUCUAAUCUAGCAUUUAAGGGUUUGGAAAUGCUACCAAUAUAUUCUUCUCUCUUACUAAUGAUUGUAUUUACAGCUGGUAUAAAAUAUAUUCCUUAUUGGGCAGAUGGAAGUAAUUUAUCCUUAUCAUUUCUUAAAAGCAUAUUUAUAAAUUUUUUAACCUGUU